CCUACGGGAGGCUGCAGUGAGGAAUAUUGGUCAAUGGCCGUAAGGCUGAACCAGCCAAGCCGCGUGAGGGAAGACGGCUCUAUGGGUUGUAAACUUCUUUUGUGCGGGGAUAAAGGUGUCUACGUGUGGACGUUUGCAGGUACCGCAUGAAUAAGGAUCGGCUAAUUCCGUGCCAGCAGCCGCGGUAAUACGGAGGGUCCGGGCGUUAUCCGGAUUUAUUGGGUUUAAAGGGUGCGUAGGCGGGUCUUUAAGUGAGCCGUGAAAUUUUGGGGCUCAACCAGGGGAGUGCGGCGCAUACUGUAGACCUUGAGUGCAGGUGCGGCAGGCGGAAUGCGUGGUGUAGCGGUGAAAUGCUUAGAGAUCACAAAGAACCCCGAUUGCGAAGGCAGCCUGCC
rnacentral:rRNA from 1 species